UCUCAUUUAUUUGAAAGGUACAGUGAUAGUGGAUACGUGACUAAGAGAAGGAAAGAGAGAUAAUCGAUCAAUCUUCAUCUACUGGUUCACUCUCAGAUGUCUACAACAGCUGGGGCUGGGUGAGGCCCAAGCCUGGAGCUAGGAACUUCACUGAAGUCUUCAAUAUGGGGAACAGGGACCCAGGUACUUGAGCCACCACCUGCUGCCUCCCAGGUGCUAAAACAUCAGAUAAGAGCCUACCUGACAUUUUGGAGAAUUUGCUGUGCUGGGAUUGAUAUUCCGCAUUGCCUAAGAGUAAAAAAUAAGACGGAUAAAAAUUACUUUAAGCCACAUGGUUUGGCUGUGUAGGCUGACUUACAAUUGUAUCCAGACAUAUCACCAAAGCACAGAAUUCCCAAGCUACCCAAGAAGAAGCAGACUGAGGAAGACAGGAGCCAAUGGAGUCACCAUGUAACAAAACUGAAACCUCAGAGAUUUUUAACAGCAUUGAGUAGAUAGGACAGCAAGAAUUUAGGUGUCAGGACUAAAAUAAAAUUUGAUAUUGGUCAGGCAGGUUCUUUGUUUCUGAGUAUUAUGCAAGUAAAAUGAUUUUGAUGUUUCAGUAAUAAGAGAAACUAUCAAUGGAAGAAGUUCACAGGAAGCCAAGACUUAAGAUACACUAAAUUUAUAUUGAUUGCUAAAAGGAGUUCUAAAAUAUAGACAAUUAGUAUAGGAAUACAGGAGGUCUAUCAUUUCAACAUAAGAAAAGACAACACAGUAGGUAAGUAAAGAAAAAAUAAAGAAGUUACCUUUAAAGGAACUGAAGCUAUUCUGUCCAGGACCCAUCACCCAGAGUAAGAAUAAGAUUUAGAAGGAAAAACUUUAGCAAG